rnacentral:rRNA from 1 species
GUGGGUGCAAGCGUUGUCCGGAAUUAUUGGGCGUAAAGCGCGCGCAGGCGGUUUUUUGGGUCUGAUGUGAAAGCCCACGGCUCAACCGUGGAGGGUCAUUGGAAACUGGGGGACUUGAGUACAGAAGAGGAAAGCGGAAUUCCAAGUGUAGCGGUGAAAUGCGUAGAGAUUUGGAGGAACACCAGUGGCGAAGGCGGCUUUCUGGUCUGUAACUGACGCUGAGGCGCGAAAGCGUGGGGAGCAAACAGGAUUAGAUACCCUGGUAGUCCACGCCGUAAACGAUGAGUGCUAAGUGUUAGGGGGUUUCCCGCCCCCCUUAGUGCUGCAGCUAACGCAUUAAGCACUCCGCCUGGGGAGUACGGCCGCAAGGCUG